GAAGAAAUGCAGCUCAUUGCCAGUAACGAGUUGAAUAGAACGUGCUUUGGCUCCUAAACGAUGAAAUCUCGAACUUUGCCUGUAACGAGUAGAAUAGCACUAGCUCCAGGUAAUUCAAUCUGAAAUCUGGCCAUUUUCGGGUAACGAGUUCGCAGAACUACAAAUGGUUUAUCAGAAAGAAUUAUGGAUCUUUUCUAGUUAUGUGUUAACGAAGAAAUGCAGCUCAUUGCCAGUAACGAGUUGAAUAGAACGUGCUUUGGCUCCUAAACGAUGAAAUCUCGAACUUCUUUGCCUGUAACGAGUAGAAUAGCACUAGCUCCAGGUAAUUCAAUCUGAAAUCUGGCCAUUUUCGGGAAACGAGUUAGCAGAACUACAAAUGGUUUAUCAGAAAGAAUUAUGGAUCUUUUCUAGUUAAGUAAAUGCAGCUCAUUGCCUGUAACGAGUUGAAUAGAACGUGCUUUGGCUCCUAAACGAUGAAAUCUCGAACUUCUUUGCCUGUAACGAGUAGAAUAGCACUAGCUCCAGG